CGACAUGACCCCAGUAGGGAACCAAAUUUUUAGGAAAAAAGAGCCAUAAACUACAAACAAAAAAUGAGCACAGCUGUGUCCCAGUAAAUCUUUGUUUAAAAAUCAGUCAUGGGACAAGAUUUGGCCUAUGGAUCACCACUUCCCCAGCCCUGAUUUAAUGAGUGGCAACAGGUGCGGAGAAGGCGUCUCAUGGUUCCCCCUGCGCAGAUGAUCUCUAGAGCCCAGAUUUAUCUGAAGUCCUCUUCCGUGUUCUUGAUAAGCAUUCUUGUGGAGGGAAGGUGCAUAAUAAAUGGAAAGGAUGCCCUUGCUCUUGUGAGACUGAUAUAUAUUUCUGAAGAGUCUAACAAAAAUCUAACAGCUCCGGACUACACAUGCUUUUAACAACUGAACCAAAGCCAGAUUCCUUGUUUUAAAUAUCUUCGUGCCAGUUGCUAAAAGAACAUCUUGAGACCAAAGGAAAGUUAAAAGGGAGUAUGAUUGGCCUUUGCUCAUUAAUUCAAUCAACAAUGUACGUGGAACUCACCUAUAAAGUGCAGUGGCUCUGAACAAGGAAGUCCUGUCCGAAUGUCAGUUCUGCUGCCCUCUUACAUGCGGCCGUGAACUUCCCGGAUUUCUCCAAGUCUGUUUCAUUAUCUUCAAAAUGGGAAUAGCUCUGUCUUAAAGACAAGAGAUAGAGGCUAUGUUAUAG